UAAUAGUGUAUAUUAAAGUUGUUGCAGUUAAAAAGCUCGUAGUUGAAUGUUGGUGUCGAACGAGCGGUCAGCUUCGGCUGUACUGCUCUCUCGACUCCUUCCUUCUGUGGACUACGUCGCACUUUACUGUGUGGCGCUAGGACGCAGAUCGUUUACUGUGAAAAAAUUAGAGUGUUCAAAGCAGGCCGUACGCUUGAAUACAUUAGCAUGGAAUAAUGGAAUAGGACGUCGGGCCUAUUUUGUUGGUUCUAGGACCGUCGUAAUGAUUAAUAGGGACAGUUGGGGCCGUUUAUAUUCCGUAGUCAGAGGUGAAAUUCUUGGACUUACGGAAGAUAAACUACUGCGAAAGCAUUCGGCAAGGAUGUUUUCGUUAA
rnacentral:rRNA from 1 species